rnacentral:rRNA from 1 species
AUGGAUAUUCUGGUUUCUCUCAAAUACCUGUUUCACAACCUGAUCAAGAGAAGACCACCUUUUACUUAUCCUUUUGAAACUUAUGCUUAUAGACGUAUGCCUUUUGGUUUAUUUAAUGCACCUGCUACUUUUCAAAGAUGUAUGAUAGCUAUAUUCUCUGAUUUUUGUGAAAAGAUUGUUGAGGUUUUCAUGGAUGAUUUUUCCAUCUACGGGAAGUCUUUUGAUGACUUCUUAAGCAACCUUGAUCGAGUUUUGCGGAGAUGUGAGCAAACUAAUCUUGUCUUGAAUUGGGAGAAGUGCCACUUUAUGGUUAAUGAAGGUAUUGUCUUGGGACAUAAAAUCUAUGAAAGAGGUAUAGAGGUGGAUAAAGCUCAAGUUGAUGCAAUUGAGAAAAUGCCAUGUCCUAAACAUAUUAAAGGUAUUCGUAGUUUCCUUGGUCAUGAUGGUUUCUAUAGGAGGUUUAUCAAAGACCUAUCUAAAAUUCCUAGGCCUCUUACAAAUCUUUUACAAAAGGACGUUCCAUUUAUUUUUAUGAUGAUUGUGUAG